GAUGAACGCUGGCUACAGGCUUAACACAUGCAAGUCGAGGGGAAACGGCGUUGAGUGCUUGCACUGAAUGGACGUCGACCGGCGCACGGGUGAGUAACGCGUAUCCAACCUUCCCGUUACUGCGGGAUAACCUGCCGAAAGGCAGACUAAUACCGCAUGUUCUUCGAUGACGGCAUCAGAUUCGAAGCAAAGACUCGUCGGUAACGGAGGGGGAUGCGUCUGAUUAGCUUGUUGGCGGGGCGACGGCCCACCAAGGCGACGAUCAGUAGGGGUUCUGAGAGGAAGGUCCCCCACAUUGGAACUGAGACACGGUCCAAACUCCUACGGGAGGCAGCAGUGGGGAAUAUUGGACAAUGGGGGGAACCCUGAUCCAGCGACGCCGCGUGAGUGAAGAAGUAUUUCGGUAUGUAAAGCUCUAUCAGCAGGGAAGAAAAUGACGGUACCUGACUAAGAAGCCCCGGCUAACUACGUGCCAGCAGCCGCGGUAAUACGUAGGGGGCAAGCGUUAUCCGGAUUUACUGGGUGUAAAGGGAGCGCAGACGGCGAAGCAAGUCUGAAGUGAAAUGCAUGGGCUCAACCCAUGAAUUGCUUUGGAAACUGUUUGGCUUGAGUGUCGGAGGGGUAAGCGGAAUUCCUAGUGUAGCGGUGAAAUGCGUAGAUAUUAGGAGGAACACCGGAGGCGAAGGCGGCUUACUGGACGACAACUGACGUUGAGGCUCGAAGGCGUGGGGAGCAAACAGG
rnacentral:rRNA from 1 species